UUGUUCUCAGACUAGCCAUGCACGUCUAGUACAAACUAAAUGAUGGUGAAACUGCAAAUGGCUCAUUACAACGGUUAUGAUGUACCCGGGAGUUCCGAUGGAUAUUUCCAGUAACACUAGAACUAAUACAUGUCCCUGCGUUUAUUAGUUUCGCACAGUCCGUCGCUGAGUCAUGGUAAACAGUUGAUCGACUCGACGUCCCGGAACAGUUUCCGCCCCAUCAGCUUCGAUGGUUGGGUAUUGGCCUACCAUUGCAACAACGGGUAACGAGGAAUUAGGGUUUGAUUUCGGAGAGGGAGCCUGAGAAACGGCUACCACAUCUACGGAUGGCAGCAGGCGCGCAAAUUACCCAAUGCAGACACUGUGAGGUAGUGACGAGAAAUAAUAAAGCGGGACUUCUGUUUCGCUAUUAUAAUGAGGAAUAACCAAAGGUCAUUCCGAUUAGCAACUGAUGGGAAAGUCUGGUGCCAGCAGCCGCGGUAAUACCAGCGUCAGUAGCA
rnacentral:rRNA from 1 species